GGUGGAAAGCCUGGUAUCCUAUUCCCGAUAUAUUGAUGACCUGCUGUUCAUUUGGAAGGGGUCUGUUAGUUCAGCCAAGGAUUUUUUCUCUUUUUUAAAUUGUAAUGAAGAAGGCAUAGUUUUAACGGCAGAUUUUAGUAGUACUAUGGUGACCUAUUUGGAUUUAAAUAUAUACAUUGAGAACAAUAAAAUACAAACAAAAACACACUUUAAAGACGUGAAUGUAAAUAAUUAUAUAAGUACUGACAGCUGUCACAAUAAAGUUUGGCUUGAUAGUAUACCUAAAAGCCAAAUGAUGCGUCUAAAAAGAAACUGCUCAGAUAAAUCUGUGUUUUUAAAACAAGCAGACAUUUAAAAAAAAAGUUUUAUACAAAAAGGUUACAAUGCUAAACAUAUUGACCUAACUAUUAAUCAAACAGUUUUAAAAAACAGAAACCACCUCUUACAUAAGACUAAAACUCCAGUAACUCAGAACAAUCCUGACUUUACUUUACC